rnacentral:piRNA from 1 species
UCGUGUCAGUCUGAAACGCCAGG